AUUCCUACGGGAGGCAGCAGUGGGGAAUAUUGCGCAAUGGGGGAAACCCUGACGCAGCAACGCCGCGUGAGGGACGAAGGCCUUCGGGUUGUAAACCUCUUUUAGUAGGGAAGAAGCGACUGGGUUUUCCUGGGAGUGACGGUACCUGCAGAAAAAGCACCGGCUAACUACGUGCCAGCAGCCGCGGUAAUACGUAGGGUGCAAGCGUUGUCCGGAAUUAUUGGGCGUAAAGAGCUCGUAGGCGGUUUGUCGCGUCUGCUGUGAAAACCCGAGGCUCAACCUCGGGCCUGCAGUGGGUACGGGCAGACUAGAGUGCGGUAGGGGAGAUUGGAAUUCCUGGUGUAGCGGUGGAAUGCGCAGAUAUCAGGAGGAACACCAAUGGCGAAGGCAGAUCUCUGGGCCGUAACUGACGCUGAGGAGCGAAAGCAUGGGGAGCGAACAGGAUUAGAUACCCUGGUAGUCCAUGCCGUAAACGUUGGGAACUAGAUGUGGGGACCAUUCCACGGUCUCCGUGUCGCAGCUAACGCAUUAAGUUCCCCGCCUGGGGAGUACGGCCGCAAGGCUAAAACUCAAAGGAAUUGACGGGGGCCCGCACAAGCGGCGGAGCAUGCGGAUUAAUUCGAUGCAACGCGAAGAACCUUACCAAGGCUUGACAUAUACCGGAAACGGCCAGAAAUGGUCGCCCCGCAAGGUCGGUAUACAGGUGGUGCAUGGUUGUCGUCAGCUCGUGUCGUGAGAUGUUGGGUUAAGUCCCGCAACGAGCGCAACCCUCGUCCUAUGUUGCCAGCACGUAAUGGUGGGAACUCAUGGGAUACUGCCGGGGUCAACUCGGAGGAAGGUGGGGAUGACGUCAAAUCAUCAUGCCCCUUAUGUCUUGGGCUUCACGCAUGCUACAAUGGCCGGUACAAAGGGCUGCGAUACCGUAAGGUGGAGCGAAUCCCAAAAAGCCGGUCUCAGUUCGGAUUGAGGUCUGCAACUCGACCUCAUGAAGUCGGAGUCGCUAGUAAUCGCAGAUCAGCAACGCUGCGGUGAAUACGUUCCCGGGCCUUGUACAC
rnacentral:rRNA from 1 species